rnacentral:Y_RNA from 1 species
GGCUGAUCCGAGUGCAGCGGUGUUUACAACUAAUUGAUCACAACCAGUUACAGAUGUCUUUGCUCCUUCUCCACUCCCACUGCUUCACUUAACCGCCUGGG